GUGGGAAAUAAGGAAGAAAGUUUGAAAAUAACAUCAAAACUGCUCUAAACCUCUUGGGUAGUAUCAAGGAAAGAAUCGCGCUGUACUGAAGACCCUCCUGUUUGGGGCCUACUCCAACACCCCACCUCCAUCACACACCAUAAGAAAUAACAAAAGACCAGUCCGAGAUAAAGACUGAGCAAAACUGCAGAAGAAUUUAGGAAUGUUUUUGCUCCUCUAGAAGGAAGCUGACCGCAGCUAAUAAG